UGUCCUGUGUCCCCUUUUUCCUCACCAUCAAUCACUCACUUUCCCUCUUUUCCUUCAACCAAUCAGACACUCCCUCACUUCUCUCAUCCAAUCAAAUCAUCUCUCUCUCUCAUCUUCUCCUUCUCUCUCUCACCGUGACUCCCUCUUCUCUGCAACAACAAGGACCAUACAUCAAAUCUCACAAAUUGAGCUUGCAACCACCAUCAUCACAUUUCUCUCAUCCUUACGAAUCCAACUAUACAAACCGAUCGUAAAAUGGUUGAGUUUUGAACACCCAACUAAGAAGCUCCGACUCGGGCGAGUUUUCCCUGACUUGUUCCCGGCCGAGUUACAAGCUUUUGGGAUGUUUGGAAGCCUCCACACAACUCCCUUGAGUCAAUAGCCUAAGUUUGAAGUUGAGUUAACGUGGAAACACAGGGUUUCGAGGUGAAGAAAAUAAGUCCGAAACUUUCGAGGCUUUUUCAGGCCACUUCCCAUCCAUUUUUGGACUUUUGGAAGGUGAGAACUAUCUCGAGGACAUACGAGGACAAGCACGGCUAGAAGGUUACGAUCCAUCGACGUGUCAGUCCUAGAUAGCUGAAUUCUCUAUGGCAUACGAGGAAAUCUCUGGUGAUUCUGACAUACGUCUAAAUGUAGGAACUUUUCUUGUUAUGUAAUAAGUACUUAGCUAGUUUCGACUGCACUACUUAUGUCAUCUAUGGUCUGAACAUUUGUGCUUUA